rnacentral:rRNA from 1 species
GUGUCAGCAGCCGCGGUAAGACAGAGGUGCCGAGCGUUAGGCGGAAUCACUGGGCUUAAAGCGUGUGUAGGCGGACCGUUAAGUACCUUGUGAAAUCCCCCGGCUCAACCGGGGAACUGCUGGGUAUACUGGCGGUCUUGAGCCACCUAGGGGUUGCCGGAACAAACGGUGGAGCGGUGAAAUGCGUAGAUAUCGUUUGGAACGCCGACGGUGAAAACAGGCAACUGGGGGUGUGCUGACGCUGAGACACGAAAGCCAGGGGAGCAAACGGGAUUAGAAACCCGCGUAGUCC